rnacentral:rRNA from 1 species
UUUCUGUACUUCCAGUUAUUGGGAUGGAGGGACGGAGAAGGUUAGGCCAGCCUGGCGUUGGUUGUCCAGGUUUAAGGUGGUAGGCUGAAAUCUUAGGCAAAUCCGGGAUUUCAAGGCCGAGAGCUGAUGACGAGUUGCCUUUAGGCGACGAAGUGGUUGAUACCAUGCUUCCAAGAAAAGCUCCUAAGCUUCAGAUAACUGGGAACCGUACCCCAAACCGACACAGGUGGUUAGGUAGAGAAUACCAAGGCGCUUGAGAGAACUCGGGUGAAGGAACUAGGCAAAAUGGCACCGUAACUUCGGGAGAAGGUGCGCCGGCGAAGGUGAAGGGCUUGCCCCGUAAGCUUUUGCUGGUCGAAGAUACCAGGCCGCUGCGACUGUUUAUUAAAAACACAGCACUCUGCAAACACGAAAGUGGACGUAUAGGGUGUGACGCCUGCCCGGUGCCGGAAGGUUAAUUGAUGGGGUUAGCGCAAGCGAAGCUCUUGAUCGAAGCCCCGGUAAACGGCGGCCGUAACUAUAACGGUCCUAAGGUAGCGAAAUUCCUUGUCGGGUAAGUUCCGACCUGCACGAAUGGCGUAACGAUGGCGGCGCUGUCUCCACCCGAGACUCAGUGAAAUUGAAAUCGCUGUGAAGAUGCAGUGUAUCCGCGGCUAGACGGAAAGACCCCGUGAACCUUUACUAUAGCUUUGCACUGGACUUUGAAUUUGCUUGUGUAGGAUAGGUGGGAGGCUUUGAAGUGGGGACGCCAGUUCUCAUGGAGCCAUCCUUGAAAUACCACCCUGGCAACUUUGAGGUUCUAACUCAGGUCCGUUAUCCGGAUCGAGGACAGUGUAUGGUGGGUAGUUUGACUGGGGCGGUCUCCUCCUAAAGUGUAACGGAGGAGUUCGAAGGUACGCUAGUUACGGUCGGACAUCGUGACGAUAGUGCAAUGGCAUAAGCGUGCUUAACUGCGAGACUGACAAGUCGAGCAGGUACGAAAGUAGGACAAAGUGAUCCGGUGGUUCUGUAUGGAAGGGCCAUCGCUCAACGGAUAAAAGGUACUCUGGGGAUAACAGGCUGAUACCGCCCAAGAGUUCAUAUCGACGGCGGUGUUUGGCACCU